rnacentral:tRNA from 1 species
AUUUAUAUAGUUUAUAAAAAACAUUACAUUUUCACUGUAAAAAUAAAGAAUAAAUCUUUUAUAGAUU